rnacentral:lncRNA from 1 species
CAUUAAGUAUCUACAUUCACUAAAAGUAGUUCUGAAUGAAUGUUAUUUAAUGGUGCCAAUGAUGUUGGAGGAUACAACAUCACAUAAAGGACAAAUGUGUAUGUUUAAAAAUGGCCAGUUUGUAUAGUCUGAGGCUAUCCAGCCUCAGAUUAUCUGAGGAUGUAGCUCAAAAUUUCCUAAUUUUGCAAACAGCAAGCUUCCCAGGAGAUUCUUAGAUUCCUGCUAACAAAAGGUGGAGACUCACUGGACAGUUACUGAAGGUAGACAGUAGGGGGCGGAAGGGCCCACGCUUCUUUGAUAUGGGUGGCUUUGGUUUUUCAGUGACGGGGGACCCUUUGACUUCAAGUUACUUUUCACGACUUUUGGUAGUGAAGAGAUAAAGUUCAUUACAAAACAUGCCAGGCUUAAGCAAUUUUCCAAAGGGAUUAAGUAAUUGCAGUGGCUGCAGGCUAUGUAAAAAUUUUUAAAAGGUGGUGUCUCUCAUAUUCUUCAGCAUAACUUGGGUCACAGAAACCCAGGCAUAAAAAUUCAUUAUGAACUCAUAUUCUAUCAUGGCCUGACACUGACUCAAUCACCACAGUUGCAAUCAAAAGAUGGCUUUAGUUGGAACCUGGAACCUACUAAUCCUUUCAGGCAGCCUGUGAUUCUGGAAGUGAAGGAAGGGAAAAUUUCACAUAAAAUUUCCAUAUGAGGAAGAAGAUGGAAACUUUUGUGUUGUGCGUUCAGUAAAACAUGCACUUUCUUAAGCAGGUGGCAAAGAAAGCCUGAGAAUCCGGCCUGACUUUUUCAUUUCAGAACCCUGCAUUUCCCACACAGAGGAGAUACAGCACAGCCAUUGCAUGGUAGAUCCAGCUUGCUCUCACAGCCAUUGUGCAAAUAAACACACAUGUGGCAAGGCAGUGCAGUUUUCGGUUGUUAAAAGUUCUGUCAUGC